UGCUCGAUUGUCAAGGUUAUUGGAUAACCGUGGGAAAUCUAGAGCUAAUACAUGCAGUUUGCGGCGCCCGGGCAACCGAGCGACGUGGCAUUUAUUGGAACGUACCAACCGUGACGCAAGUCGCGUGGUGAAUCUAGAUAACUGUGCAGAUCGUAUGGCCUUGUGCUGACGACGUUUCGAUUGAAUUUCUGCCCUAUCAACUUUUGUCGAGAGUGUAGUGUACUCCCGAGGUGAUAACGGGUAACGGGGGAUCAGGGUUCGAUUCCGGAGAGGGAGCCUGAGAAACGGCUACCACAUCCAAGGAAGGCAGCAGGCGCGCAAAUUACACAAUCCAGACAGUGGGAUGUGGUAACGAAAAGUACCGAGUGACGACCUAUGGUUGUCAGUUUGGAAUGAAAUCAAUCCAAGUCAUUGAGUUGAGUAACAACUGGAGGGCAAGUCUGGUGCCAGCAGCCGCGGUAAUUCCAGCUCCAGUAGCGUAUCUCAAAGUUGCUGCGCUUAAAACGCUCGUAGUUGGAUCACGCACUGCGCGACGGUGGACCUGCGGGCCGCAUCAAACUCCCUUCGUCUGAACGGCGUAUCCUUACGUCGUAUUGGAGUUGGGAGGGUGUGGUCGGCAGGUUGUUAGCCGACGCGCAGUAAUUGCACGUGAGAAUGGGCAUUGACCUUUGGUGCGUCGGUGCUUGUGCCUCACGGGGUGUGCCUUGAGUAAAUCAGAGUGCUUAAAGCAGGCGUUGAGCUUGAAUGUUGAUAGCAUGGAACGAACAAUCGUGUAGGUGUGUGCUGGCUAGGGUGGGGGGAGCGCAAGCAAACCCCGCUUCAGCAUACGACACCGACCGCCAAUUACGGAUGUUGGUUCCGUAUUGGGGUACUGAUUAAGAGGAGCGCUUGGGGGCAUUGGUAUUUGGCAGCGAGAGGUGAAAUUCUUGGACCUGCCAAGGACUAACAAAUGCGAAGGCAUCUGUCCAGAGCGUAUCCAUUAAUCAAGAACGAAAGUGAGAGGUUCGAAGACGAUCAGAUACCGUCCUAGUUCUCACAGUAAACCAUGCCGACUCGGGAUCAGUUUGGAGUCUUUCCAUGCUCGAUGUUGGUCCCCCUGGGAAACCUAAAGUCUUUCGGUUGCGGGGGGAGUAUGGUCGCAAGGCUGAAACUUAAAGGAAUUGACGGAAGGGCACCACCAGGGGUGGAGCCUGCGGCUUAAUUUGACUCAACACGGGAAAACUUACCUGGUCCGGACAUCAAAAGGAUUCACAGACUAAAAGAUCUUUGAUGAUCUGGUGAUGAGUGGUGCAUGGCCGUUCUUAGUUCGUGGAGUGAUCUGUCAGGCUAAUCCCGGUAACGAACGAGACCACAAUCUCCAUUUGACGGGACGGAGAAGUGGCCCACCGCAGCGUGGAGGCAACGAAGCGUUGCGGCGAGCUAUGUAGGCACUGCCUGUGUGCCGUGAGGAACUGCUCCCCAGAUUGGCAACGACGAGGGGGGUGGCGAGACGCGGGGCUUGGCAGUCCCUCCGGACUUCCAGUACGCGGCUCGUAAGAGCAGUGUGCUGUAUCAUGGAGAGACAACGGAACAUAUUUCAAAAUCCGAGGAAGUGUGGCUAUAACAGGUCUGUGAUGCCCUAAGAUGUCCUGGA
rnacentral:rRNA from 1 species